rnacentral:lncRNA from 1 species
CUGAAUCCACUGCAGUACAUCACAGAGUAUACACAGACAAUAUACUCAUUACACACCACAAGACCAAAGGGCAUGGAUGUCCAGCUUGGCUUACAGCUAAAGCAAAGAACACACACUCCCCUGAAUGAGGAAACAACAAGCCAAAGUCCUGCAGACAUACAGCACUGUACACAUGGAUUCACCGCUGGCUUCCUCCUGAAACAUAUAUAAGUUAAGUUUAUGCUUGUUUACAGUUUUCCCACAGCAUGUCCACUCUGUGAGUAAUCAAAUGGGGGUUUGGAGUGAGAACACUGGGGACCUUGGCAGUGUGGUUGUUUGAUGCAGAUAUUGGCCCUUUUGAAGAGGGUUGAAGAGUUCUUAUAAACAAUGGACUGACUGCAGACACAGCUGGAGGACCUGUGUGAGUUUGAGUGAUGCAGAGAGAGUGACGAGACCAGCUGGAGGACCUGUGUGCACCUUGUGCUGGGGACAAGAAAAGGACCUCCACAUCCGGCUUCUUCACCUGCGGGAUCGUCUGAGACCAGCCACCCAGACAGCUGAUGAAACUGAGGAGUAUUUCUGUCUGUAAUAAAGCACUUUUGUUUAUUACUAAUUCUGAUUUGCUGGGCCUGGCUCCCCAGUGGGUGGGCCUGGCUCCCAAGUGGGUAGGCCUAUGCCCUUGCAGCCCCACCCAUGUCUGCACCCUGCCCUGUCAUGUGAAAUCUAUAAUUAGCGCAUAAUGAAUUUAUUUCAAUUGACUGAUUUCCUUAUAGGAACUGUAACUCAGUAAAAUCGUUGAAAUUGUUGCAUGAUGCGUUUAUAUUUUUGUUCAGUAUAUUUAUUACUCAUGUAAACGUUAGUAAUUCAUGCUCACAGGGCUCGUUGACCUCCUAGACCGAGCUGCAGGUUUUUAGACUGGAGUUUGCAAUAUGGCAAUAAUGUCACGGUGCAUCCUUUGGCGAAUGAUCAUGUUUGUUGUAUGUCACGCAUGCUGUUUUCAUGCAUGUAAAGAUAACUAUGUCUGUCUUUUUGAAAGCUAUGUCCGUCCGUCCGUCCGUCUGCCUGUCUGUCGUCUCGCUGUCUUUCUCUCUGUGUCUCUGUCUCUGUCAUCCUCUGCAUGUCCAGCUGUCUCCGCAUGGUGUGACUACCGUUCUUUAGAUCUCCUCUCUGAAGUGGUUGUUGGGAAAUGUGGGUCUGUGGUUCAAGAUUAUUAAUAAACCAUACCAAUUGAAGAGUCAAGUAGACUUUUCCUCAGUGUUGUCAGGAAAGCCCACAGGUGUAUAUUGUGGAUUGCAGAGUCAGGCUUACAUUUCUUCUACCACAAUGGUUCCCCCUUGGGCCAAAUAUGUCAAC